rnacentral:lncRNA from 1 species
GACGGAGUCGGUGGCGGAGGUGAGGGUGUGGGUGGUGGCGGAGUGGGUACGGCUGGGGUGGUACAUGGGUUGUCACAGGCGGCGCACAUUGUGCAUUCGAUCUGAUACUUUGAUCGUACCCAUGAAUUUGAACUCACAUUCCUUGAGAAAAAAAAAGUUGUAUAAUCAAGUAAGGGAGAAAAGAAAGUUUUAAUUUUUGGGUCAUCUUUCCAGAGGAUUUUAGAGAGAGAAAUAUUGAAGAGAGGAGUGAGAAUUAGGAGGAGGAGGAGGAGGAGGAGGAGGAG